CGGGACGGGUGAGUAACGCGUGGGUAACCUGCCUUACACUGGGGGAGUAACACUUAGAAAUAGGUGCUAAUACCGCAUAAGCGCACAGAGCCGCAUGGCUCAGUGUGAAAAACUCCGGUGGUGUAAGAUGGAUCCGCGUCUGAUUAGCUGGUUGGCGGGGUAGAAGCCCACCAAGGCGACGAUCAGUAGCCGGCCUGAGAGGGUGAACGGCCACAUUGGGACUGAGACACGGCCCAAACUCCUACGGAAGGCAGCAG
rnacentral:rRNA from 1 species